CAGUUUAAUUUUGUUAAAAUAUCCCACUGCCUGUGGGUCUUGCUGAGAAUUUGGUCCUGCAUGUUCCUGGCUGUGAUGUGUUUCUUCUUGGUGAGGCUGACCUGCCUGAGAAGUACAUUCUUGUUCAGAGAAGGAAGCAACUGGACUGGUUUAUAAGGAGGGAUUUCAGUGCUCUUGAAUCUGACCUGGGAUCUGCACCUGCCUGAAGAUGUGGUUUCACAGGUUCUCGAAGUUGACUUUGUUCAGUUUUGCAAGUGAAAGAUUCACGGACACAGACGGCUCAAGAAAAUAAGGACUUUGUGGAAGUAAAUGACAAGAUUAAAUGAACCAGUCAUUCUGGUGCUGUGUGAAAUACCAACGUGUUCACAGCCUUUGAUGAUGGUGUGUCAUCCAAAUUUGUUGGACCCAGAGCAAAAAUAAGAACAAUAAUUUGAUUUAAAGGUUACAUACUGGAGGUGGCUAGCGAGAGAACUGCUUUAUUGAAAAGAUGUGGGACAUUAGGUGCCAUAGCUCUGGAAAGCAGGGCAGUUUACAGCGCCAUCUGUCUUCAGGAAAAAUUGCUGCAUCCCACUCCCACCUCAAUCUCCACUUCCUGGGUGAUGGUCAUGCCCUCAGCCGACCAAAGGUUUCAGCUGAAGACAUAUCUGAAAUGCUCUGAAAUGGUUCAGCACAAGUCUUUCUAGCCUCUUCUCAAAGGCAGGAAAUGAUGACAUUUGACGCUGGUAAUAGAGGACGUACCAAAGGUGUACCUCAGUCCUGUCCCAUGGGCUGAUGUCUUCACUGAGACCCUCCAGACAUCAUGGAAUGCCCAUCAUCAGAUUUUUGUGUUGCCCAGAAUGAUCCCCCUUAGUGGAGGAAGAAGAAGGAAAAGGAGGAGAAAGAAGGAAGAAAGAAAUGUCCUUCACCUUAGAGGCUAAUCCGCUUGUUUUUCUGUGGCAUAUUACUGGACCUAGCACAGGCCCAAACUUCUCAGCAGCUUGGUGAGUAUUUGCUGAAUGAUAAAGAAAGGAGUGCAGUUCAUCCUGAAGAAGAACAGGCUGUUAAGGAUUGGAAAGCUGCUGUCCGUCCCUUUCUUAGGAAGGAAAAAUAACCAACUGUCGACCAGGACCUGAAUCCUCUGUGCAGAGAGAAGAGACGAUUGCAUGAGGGUCAUAAGACAUGGACGUUCUUCUGGGACAGCAGAG